rnacentral:lncRNA from 1 species
GUUUCAUUUCCUGUCUUUACUUUGUAGCGUUGCAAACUUCUUUAAGUUUUAGAAACACUUGUAGAGAAGUUUGAUUCAUUUCCUGUUUUUACUUUGUUACCAGAACUUGCCUAUUGUGACGAAUAGUUACUUUUAAGUCGAUUGUAUUUGGAUUCUGUCUGGGUGAUUCUGGAAACCCCAGUUGUUUCUGUGUCUGAAUGAGUUACUUUUUCAGUUUAUUUGCCUCCUCUUUGUGAUUUUAAAAUAUUUAAAUCGUUUUCUAAAAAUGUAAUUCUGGGGCAUUUCUAUUGCUUUGAGGUACUUUUAGUCGUUGUUUCAUAUCAAACUAAAGUACUGAAUUUUCCUUUUUUGUUCAAUUAGCUGGGAUAGAUGGGCAGCAGAAGAUCAUGUGCUUCGUGAUACCGAUGAAAAUCGUAGAUUACAGCGUAAAUUGGCAAGAAAAGCUGUAGCUCGCCUGAGGAGCACAGGAAGAAAGAAGAAGCGCUGCAGGUUGCCUGGUGUGGACUCUGUCUUAAAAGGCCUCCCCACUGAAGAAAAAGAUGAAAAUGAUGAAAACUCAUUAAGCAGUUCCUCUGACUGUAGUGAAAACAAGGAUGAAGAAAUAAGUGAAGAAAGUGAUAUUGAAGAAAAGACUGAAGUGAAAGAAGAACCAGAGCUUCAAACAAGAAGGGAAAUGGAAGAAAGAACAAUAACUAUAGAAAUCCCUGAAGUUCUGAAGAAGCAGCUGGAGGAUGAUUGUUACUACAUUAACAGGAGGAAACGGUUAGUGAAACUUCCAUGCCAGACCAACAUCAUAACGAUUUUGGAAUCCUAUGUGAAGCAUUUUGCUAUCAA